ACAUGAUGAUACGCCAGCUGGCACCAGUCAUAGAAAGACUUGUACUCCCAUCUUUGAUGACACAUGCUUCGGUCUUCGACCUCUCUCUGAA
rfam:Verticillium longisporum isolate VL1 genome assembly, contig: scaffold_21